rnacentral:tRNA from 1 species
UGGAGAGUUGAGCAGGUGGUGGGCUCCGGUGCCUGUAAAGCACCCAUUCAUUUCGUGCAGGUUCGAUUCCUGUCUCUUCAA